rnacentral:rRNA from 1 species
GGGUUGUGAGGUUAAGCGACUAAGCGUACACGGUGGAUGCCCUGGCAGUCAGAGGCGAUGAAGGACGUGCUAAUCUGCGAAAAGCGUCGGUAAGGUGAUAUGAACCGUUACAGCCGGCGAUGUCCGAAUGGGGAAACCCAGUGCAAUUCGUUGCACUAUCGUUAACUGAAUACAUAGGUUAACGAGGCGAACCGGGGGAACUGAAACAUCUAAGUACCCCGAGGAAAAGAAAUCAACCGAGAUUCCCCCAGUAGCGGCGAGCGAACGGGGAGCAGCCCAGAGUCUGAAUCAGCUUGUGUGUUAGUGGAACGGUCUGGAAAGUCCGACGGUACAGGGUGAUAGUCCCGUACACCAAAAUGCACAGGCUGUGAACUCGAAGAGUAGGGCGGGACACGUGGUAUCCUGUCUGAAUAUGGGGGGACCAUCCUCCAAGGCUAAAUACUCCUGACUGACCGAUAGUGAACCAGUACCGUGAGGGAAAGGCGAAAAGAACCCCGGCGAGGGGAGUGAAAAAGAACCUGAAACCGUGUACGUACAAGCAGUGGGAGCACCUUCGGGUGUGACUGCGUACCUUUUGUAUAAUGGGUCAGCGACUUAUAUUCUGUAGCAAGGUUAACCGUAUAGGGGAGCCGCAGGGAAACCGAGUCUUAACUGGGCGUUAAGUUGCAGGGUAUAGACCCGAAACCCGGUGAUCUAGCCAUGGGCAGGUUGAAGGUUGGGUAACACUAACUGGAGGACCGAACCGACUAAUGUUGAAAAAUUAGCGGAUGACUUGUGGCUGGGGGUGAAAGGCCAAUCAAACCGGGAGAUAGCUGGUUCUCCCCGAAAGCUAUUUAGGUAGCGCCUCGUGAAUUCAUCUUCGGGGGUAGAGCACUGUUUCGGCUAGGGGGUCAUCCCGACUUACCAACCCGAUGCAAACUACGAAUACCGAAGAAUGUUAUCACGGGAGACACACGGCGGGUGCUAACGUCCGUCGUGAAGAGGGAAACAACCCAGACCGCCAGCUAAGGUCCCAAAGUCAUGGUUAAGUGGGAAACGAUGUGGGAAGGCACAGACAGCCGUGAUGUUGGCUUAGAAGCAGCCAUCAUUUAAAGAAAGCGUAAUAGCUCACUGGUCGAGUCGGCCUGCGCGGAAGAUGUAACGGGCUAAACCAUGCACCGAAGCUGCGGCAGCGACACUAUGUGUUGUUGGGUAGGGGAGCGUUCUGUAAGCCUGCGAAGGUGACCUGUGAGGGUUGCUGGAGGUAUCAGAAGUGCGAAUGCUGACAUAAGUAACGAUAAAGCGGGUGAAAAGCCCGCUCGCCGGAAGACCAAGGGUUCCUGUCCAACGUUAAUCGGGGCAGGGUGAGUCGACCCUAAGGCGAGGCCGAAAGGCGUAGUCGAUGGGAAACAGGUUAAUAUUCCUGUACUUGGUGUUACUGCGAAGGGGACGGAGAAGGCUAUGUUAGCCGGGCGACGGUUGUCCCGGUUUAAGCAUGUAGGCUGAUUGUCCAGGCAAAUCCGGAUAAUCAAGGCUGAGGUGUGAUGACGAGGCACUACGGUGCUGAAGUAACAAAUGCCCUGCUUCCAGGAAAAGCCUCUAAGCAUCAGGUAACAUUAAAUCGUACCCCAAACCGACACAGGUGGUCAGGUAGAGAAUACCAAGGCGCUUGAGAGAACUCGGGUGAAGGAACUAGGCAAAAUGGUGCCGUAACUUCGGGAGAAGGCACGCUGGUGUGUAGGUGAAGUCCCUGCGGAUGGAGCUGAGACCAGUCGAAGAUACCAGCUGGCUGCAACUGUUUAUUAAAAACACAGCACUGUGCAAACACGAAAGUGGACGUAUACGGUGUGACGCCUGCCCGGUGCCGGAAGGUUAAUUGAUGGGGUUAUCCGUAAGGAGAAGCUCUUGAUCGAAGCCCCGGUAAACGGCGGCCGUAACUAUAACGGUCCUAAGGUAGCGAAAUUCCUUGUCGGGUAAGUUCCGACCUGCACGAAUGGCGUAAUGAUGGCCAGGCUGUCUCCACCCGAGACUCAGUGAAAUUGAACUCGCUGUGAAGAUGCAGUGUACCCGCGGCAAGACGGAAAGACCCCGUGAACCUUUACUAUAGCUUGACACUGAACAUUGAGCCUUGAUGUGUAGGAUAGGUGGGAGGCUUUGAAGCGUGGACGCCAGUCUGCGUGGAGCCAACCUUGAAAUACCACCCUUUAAUGUUUGAUGUUCUAACGUUGGCCCCUGACCGGGGUUGCGGACAGUGUCUGGUGGGUAGUUUGACUGGGGCGGUCUCCUCCCAAAGCGUAACGGAGGAGCACGAAGGUUAGCUAAUCCUGGUCGGACAUCAGGAGGUUAGUGCAAUGGCAUAAGCUAGCUUGACUGCGAGCGUGACGGCGCGAGCAGGUGCGAAAGCAGGUCAUAGUGAUCCGGUGGUUCUGAAUGGAAGGGCCAUCGCUCAACGGAUAAAAGGUACCCGGGGAUAACAGGCUGAUACCGCCCAAGAGUUCAUAUCGACGGCGGUGUUUGGCACCUCGAUGUCGGCUCAUCACAUCCUGGGGCUGAAGUAGGUCCCAAGGGUAUGGCUGUUCGCCAUUUAAAGUGGUACGCGAGCUGGGUUUAGAACGUCGUGAGACAGUUCGGUCCCUAUCUGCCGUGGGCGCUGGAGAAUUGAGGGGGGCUGCUCCUAGUACGAGAGGACCGGAGUGGACGCAUCACUGGUGUUCGGGUUGUCAUGCCAAUGGCACUGCCCGGUAGCUAAAUGCGGAAGAGAUAAGUGCUGAAAGCAUCUAAGCACGAAACUUGCCCCGAGAUGAGUUCUCCCUGAGACUUUAAGUCUCCUGAAGGAACGUUAAAGACGAUGACGUUGAUAGGCCGGGUGUGUAAGCGCAGCGAUGCGUUGAGCUAACCGGUACUAAUGAACCGUGAGGCUUAACCUUACAACGCCGAAG